AUUGAACGCUGGCGGCAGGCCUAACACAUGCAAGUCGAGCGGAGCGGCGGACGGGUGAGUAAUGCCUAGGAAUCUGCCUGGUAGUGGGGGAUAACGUCCGGAAACGGGCGCUAAUACCGCAUCCUAUCAGAUGAGCCUAGGUCGGUGUAGCUAGGGGGUGGGGUAAAGGCCUACAAAGGCGACGAUCCGUAACUGGUCUGAGUGGAUGAUCAGUCACACUGGAACUGAGACACGGUCCAGAAUCCUACGGGAGGCAGCAGUGGGGAAUAUUGGACAAUGGGCGAAAGCCUGAUCCAGCCAUGCCGCGGGUGUGAAGAAGGUCUUCGGAUUGUAAAGCACUUUAAGUUGGGAGGCGGUACCAACAGAAUAAGCACCGGCUAACUCCGUGCCAGCAGCCGCGGUAAUAC
rnacentral:rRNA from 1 species